rnacentral:rRNA from 1 species
UGCGUAGGCGGAUAAGUAAGUCAGAGGUGAAAUCCUACAGCUUAACUGUAGAACUGCCUUUGAUACUGUUUAUCUUGAAUUAGGUUAAGGUUAGUGGAAUGUGGCAUGUAGCGGUGAAAUGCUUAGAUAUGCCAUAGAACACCAAUUGCGAAGGCAGCUAGCUGGGCCUUAAUUGACGCUGAGGCACGAAAGCGUGGGGAGCGAACAGGAUUAGAUACCCUGGUAGUCC